rnacentral:rRNA from 1 species
GACGAACGCUGGCGGCGCGCUUAACACAUGCAAGUCGAACGGAAAGGCCCUGCUUUUGUGGGGUGCUCGAGUGGCGAACGGGUGAGUGACACGUGAGUAACCUGCCCUUGACUUUGGGGUAACUUCAGGAAACUGGGGCUAAUACCGGAUAGGAGCUCCUGCUGCAUGGUGGGGGUUGGAAAGUUUCGGCGGUUGGGGAUGGACUCGCGGCUUAUCAGCUUGUUGGUGGGGUAGUGGCUUACCAAGGCUUUGACGGGUAGCCGGCCUGAGAGGGUGACCGGCCACAUUGGGACUGAGAUACGGCCCAGACUCCUACGGGAGGCAGCAGUGGGGAAUAUUGCACAAUGGGCGGAAGCCUGAUGCAGCAACGCCGCGUGCGGGAUGACGGCUUUCGGGUUGUAAACCGCUUUCGCCUGUGACGAAGCGUGAGUGACGGUAAUGGGUAAAGAAGCACCGGCUAACUACGUG